GUUGGCUGUUUGAGCUUGACUUAGGUUCUUCAGAGUGGUUAUGACAAUCCAGAAGCUUGAGAAUCAUUGUCAUACAUAUUUUGAAUUUCUAAUUUAAACAUCAGACGGCAAUGUAACCACUGUAUAAGUAAGAACUUGGUCUAGAUGCAUCAGUGGUGUCAUAUAUUUGCAGCUGCCUUCUUGAAUCACAGGGUCUUCACUCAAGGUGUAAAAUAACCCAUCCAAUUUAAACUCCUAUAACGAGUAUUUGAUCAUAUUUACAUCAAGCUGCAGGAAGAUUUUACCCUGAGUGACAGUGUAUUCAGCUAAAAAUGUAAGCAUCACCUUCCUGUUUAAAGUUGGUGUGCCCUAGAUCUUGGCUUUGUUUCCUUUUUUUGUUGAAAGGCACAGCUUAAUGAUCUCAUACUGUCUCAAGGAUACACAUACUAUCUAUAUUCCAAAAAAUAUUAUAUUUGUAUCUCUAACUUAGACUUCUCUCUGGAGCACCAGCUUGCUAUAUCCAUUUCCUACAUUAAGGCUGUGCAUUGUUGUCUAGUAAAUAUUUUAAACUCUACAUAUUCAGAACUAAUUAUGUCCAUCUUUUUUUUUCCAAAACAUGAUUCAUCUAUUCUACAUCUCAGUAACUUGGUCAUUGAACCAAGGAACCUUUCUUUAAUCUUUUCUAAUUCAGGUUAAAUUCUUUUUGGUCUUUCCUUCGAAAUAUACCCCAAAUGAAAUUAUUUCUCAUCACCUUCGUUGCUACACCUAUGUCUGAGCCAGAACCAUCUUUGAAUUGAACUAUUGCAAUUGUCUUCUAUCUGUUUGAACCUUGUCACUCUGCAAGCUAUUCUCAACAUAUUAACUGAGUAGAACUUAUAAAUUGUAAUUCUGAUAAUUUAUCUCUUCUAUUCAAAACUCCAAUGUGGCUCUUCAUUGCACUAAUAAUUAAAGCCAAAUACCCUUUCUAAGCUGCCCCCUCCACUACCUCAUUGACAUAUCUCUCUUUUACUGAUUGCCUUAGGACUCCAAACACACUAACUUCCUUGCUGUUCUGACGUACCUUCAAACAUUUAUUCAUCUGCCCCUCUGCUUGAGUUGCAUGCUUUAGCCUAGUUAUCCACUUGGAUCUGUCAUGUCUUUGCUCAGGUAUUACUUCCUCAAUCAGGACUGCUUUGUUUAUGUUAUUCAGCACUAAAACCUCAUCCCCACAACACUUUAGCAUUUCUUGUUAAUUUUAAUAUUUUUU
rnacentral:lncRNA from 10 species